CUUUAAUCCCAAUGAAAGAGUAGACACCCACAGGAGUGACAGUAUUUAAAUCAGUGGCUUUAGGAGUAUGGUCCAGGGAGUCAAGAGGUUACAACUAUUUUUCCAAUUACACCAAGAUGUUAUUCACCCUUUUCACCCUCCACUUGUCAGGAGUGUGCAGAGGCUACAGGAUGUAAUGACAUCAUCACUCUGGUGACAAAUGGAAUGUGUAUUUCAAUGGGUCCAUGAAGCCCUGGGAUUGCAUGCAAAAUUUCUGUUUUAUGCAUUUUUCUGGGAAAAUUAGUACAAGCUAUCAUCAGAUACUCAAAUAAUGUUAACAGUGACUGCUAGAGAACAGAAUUCAAAGCCCUAAACUAGAAUCAAAAACUGCGAGAGCCCUAAAGGUCAUCCAGACUGACGUACCAUCUUGCAAAUGAGAAAAAGAAGUCCGAGGA
rnacentral:lncRNA from 1 species